rnacentral:rRNA from 1 species
GAGAGAAUAGAGUAAGAUGUUAGUGUUCAAGAAUUAAAGGAAGGCUCCUUAUCUAACGCAUGAUACGCACACUCAUGACUCGUGCGUAUUCCCAAAAAAGAAUUAAAGGAAGGAUAGGUCUCUGCAAUGCAUUUGUUCACUCACUGUUACUUAACAUAUUCUACAGUUAUGCUAAGCUACUGACUAACAGUUACGAAAAAAAUUAGUGUACUCCGUCCACAAAUACUCACUCAGCAAACAGCAAUAUUGUGUCAUGAAGAUGACCUUCUAAUGCUACUGCUUGCCAAUAUGAAAAAAGUUGCAACACAGUGCCAAUAAGAAUGUUAGUCGACACAGAGAUGGAUACCUUUAUGGUGAUAAAUCUGUGUGCUAUUUUACUGGAAUGUGUGGUGUGUCAGCAGUGCCAUGUCGUACUGUACACAUAAUACUUUGUGAUGACAAGUACCACUUUGCUAUGAUAAAUUGGUAGUGCACAUGGCAGACAGCAGUAAAGGAGUUUAAUAAUUUUCCAUGUCCGUUUUUUACUUUUGAUUAAGUGCUAACCUUUGGGUUUGUUUAUUAUUCCACUCUACUAGUAUACCAGAAAUUAUCCUAUGCCACACCCUUUACAAUCUGAAUCCACUGUCAAUCAGUGAAUUUUCUGUAUGUGAUACCGUCAUACUUCAUUUUCUACCUUCGCAAACAAAAGGACAAAACACCCAGCCUCCGUGAUCUGGAUGAGUUCCAAGACCACCGGCUUACUGAUCUCCAAGAUUCCAGUUAAUUGCAAGUGUUGAACAAGAUCCGUCACUUGGAUAAAUCAUGAAUGCCAGUGAAAUUAUGUUGUACUCCCUCUGUCCCAUAAUGUAAGGCGUUUUACAUUAUGUCUAGUGUCAAAAAACGCCUUACAUUAUGGGACAGAGGGAGUAUUUAGCAUGAAAACACAGAGCAAUUUAAGUCUUAUCUGUGUGCAACUAAGAUUCAUGGUUCUAUCUGUCCAAAAAAAUCAUGGUUCUAAAUAGCUGAUAUAGGAUCAAGGCAAACUGGCUAUGGCAUAUCAAGUAUAAGAUGGACAAUAUACAUGAUAGUAACUUUUACACAAUGCUCCUGAACUCUCUAUUGUUAGAGGAAACAUGCUAAGCAUGACAAGUAUUAGGUGUACAAAUUCUUAAAUCUAUAAAUCUGCAAGGGUUGAACGAAACUAAAAGUACCAGGUUAUUUAUUCACUAAACUUAGAAUGAUGCUAAACUCAAAAGGAACGAAAGAAGCUUGACAUAAUUAUACAUAAUAUUCAGUACUUGCCAUCUUUCGUUGUUAUUAUUGUUACAGGUAACAUGUUAGGCAUGCAAUAUACUGCUCUGUACAAAUCCGAAAUCUAUCAUUUUAAGUGUAAAAUCGAACCUGGAGCACACCACAUUAUUUCCUAAACUUAUGAGCUAAAUUAUUCUAACUACGAAGGCUUGGAAAAAGCUUACAUAUGCACCAGGAAUUCUCAUCAUAGUUGACCUUGAAAGAAGCUUUGGUGUUAUACACAGUAUGCAACAGAAGCUAUCCUUCGCUUUAUAGUUGUUAGCGGUAACAUGUUAGGCAUAAUGAAAAUUAUUCGUAGAAAUCCUAAAUCUAUAGUUAUGCAGGUGUAAGACUAAAUUAGAAGCACCACAAUAUUUGCUGAACUUAUCAGCUAAAGAAUUCUAACUCGAAAGGAUUAAAAAAAAAAAAAAGCUUACAUAACCACAAGAACAUCCUAACCACCACCAAUUCUCUUCAUAGUUGAUGAGACGACAUUUACAGUACAUAAAUCUGAUGUAAAAAAAGUAAGCAAUAUUGUGCAGCAGCAGGGAAUUAGUAUUAUAUCGCUCAUUCAUUC